rnacentral:rRNA from 1 species
UACGGAGGGUGCAAGCGUUAUCCGGAUUCACUGGGUUUAAAGGGUGCGUAGGUGGGCUAGUAAGUCCGUGGUGAAAUCUCUGAGCUUAACUCGGAAACUGCCGUGGAUACUAUUAGUCUUGAAUCUCGUGGAGGUAAGCGGAAUAUGUCAUGUAGCGGUGAAAUGCUUAGAUAUGACAUAGAACACCGAUAGCGAAGGCAGCUUGCUACACGAGUAUUGACACUGAGGCACGAAAGCGAUGGGGAUCGAA